rnacentral:rRNA from 1 species
GACGAACGCUGGCGGCGUGCUUAACACAUGCAAGUCGAACGCUGAAGCUCAGCUUUUGUUGGGUGGAUGAGUGGCGAACGGGUGAGUAACACGUGAGUAACCUGCCCCCUUCUUUGGGGUAACGCCCGGAAACGGGUGCUAAUACUGGAUAUUCACUGUUCUUCGCCUUGGGGCUGGUGGAAAGGGCUUUUCUGGUGGGGGGUGGGCUCGCGGCCUAUCCGCUUGUUGGUGGGGUGAUGGCCUACCAAUGCUUUGACGGGUAGCCGGCCUGAGCGGGUGACCGGUCACAGUGGGACUGAGAUACGGCCCAGACUCCUACGGGGGGCAGCAGUGGGGAAGAUUGCACAAUGGGCGCAAGCCUGAUGCAGCGACGCCGCGUGAGGGAUGGAGGCCUUCGGGUUGUGAACCUCUUUCGCUCAUGGUCAAGCCGCAACAAUGGUUGUGGUGAGGGUAGUGGGUAAAGAAGCGCCGGCUAACUACGUG